rnacentral:rRNA from 1 species
CCUACGGGCGGCAGCAGUGGGGAAUAUUGGGCAAUGGGCGCAAGCCUGACCCAGCAACGCCGCGUGAAGGAAGAAGGCUUUCGGGUUGUAAACUUCUUUUCUGAGGGACGAAGAAACUGACGGUACCUCAGGAAUAAGCCACGGCUAACUACGUGCCAGCAGCCGCGGUAAUACGUAGGUGGCAAGCGUGAUCCGGAUUUGUUGGGUGUAAAGGGCGUGUAGGCGGGACGGCAAGUCAGAUGUGAAAACUCCGCGCUCAACCCUGAGCCUGCAUUUGAAACUGUUUUUCUUGAGUGCUGGAGAGGCAAUCGGAAUUCGGGGUGUAGCGGUGAAAUGCGUAGAUAUACGGAGGAACACCAGUGGCGAAGGCGGAUUGCUGGACAGUAACUGACGCUGAGGCGCGAAAGCGUGGGGAGCAAACAGGAUUAGAUACCCUAGUAGUC